rnacentral:tRNA from 1 species
GCCCCUGUAGCUCAACGGACAGAGUCACCGCGUCCUAAGCGGUAGAUGCAGGUUCGAUUCCUGCUAGGGGCACCG